rnacentral:rRNA from 1 species
AGUGAACGCUGGCGGUAGGCCUAACACAUGCAAGUCGAACGGCAGCACAGGAGAGCUUGCUCUCUGGGUGGCGAGUGGCGGACGGGUGAGGAAUACAUCGGAAUCUGCCCAGUCGUGGGGGAUAACGUAGGGAAACUUACGCUAAUACCGCAUACGACCUUCGGGUGAAAGAGGGGGAUCGCAAGACCUCUCGCGAUUGGAUGAGCCGAUGUCGGAUUAGCUAGUUGGCGGGGUAAUGGCCCACCAAGGCGACGAUCCGUAGCUGGUCUGAGAGGAUGAUCAGCCACACUGGAACUGAGACACGGUCCAGACUCCUACGGGAGGCAGCAGUGGGGAAUAUUGGACAAUGGGCGCAAGCCUGAUCCAGCCAUACCGCGUGGGUGAAGAAGGCCUUCGGGUUGUAAAGCCCUUUUGUUGGGAAAGAAAUCUUUCAGGCUAAUACCCUGGGAGGAUGACGGUACCCAAAGAAUAAGCACCGGCUGACUUCGUG